CCCCUCUCUCUCUCUCUCUCGCUCUCCCACUCGCACCUGCGCCAGCGCCGCAUCCCCAAUCCCGCUCCCGCACGCGCUGACGCCGGAAACUGCUCCGCCAUCAGCGCUCCCCUCCCCAACAGCCUCGCCGAUCUGCCCCGCACGUCGUCAAGGGUGCCGGCUCGCCGCAGUCUACAUCGCCGCCCACUCCGUCGUCAUCGAAUCCGUCCUCGGGCAGGAAUCACGUCGCCGCCGAUGCCCUCUGCGCCGAUCUGUUCCUCACCGUCACCGAUCCCCGCUGCCAGCUCGCCCUCCACCGACCCCCCGCCGGAAGCCCUUCUGUCGCCAGGUCUCCGCCAAUGCAUUCCACACCGAGCUGCUCCUCGCCGCCACCGAUCCCUGCUGCCAGGUCGCUGCCGACGCCUUCCGCACCGAGCUGCUCCUCGCCGCGCCGCCACGACGACGACGAUAGACUCCUCAGCAAGUCGCUCCUGCCGACCACCUAGCUAGCUAGCUAACGUCUUGACGAUGUGUUUGUGGCUAGCUAGAGCUCUGAUGCGGCAGCUUGUAUGGUGUGGCUGGGAGACGACGACGCAGCGUGCGCGAGAGGAUGGGAGUCACGAGCUCCAGCCUUAAGGGAGGGGAAGGAGCAUAAAAAAAAAUUGAGGGAUGGAAAGAGAAAUAAAAAGUUAAAAACAGAGAGAAGACAAAAUAGAAAAAAAUUUGGAAGAUUGGAAGAGAGGUUCAGAAAAUUUAAUUCAGUGGCUCAUGACCGUUGUUCUAAAGGUCAUGAUCAUGUAGAUAUGCCUGCAGUUCGCUGCCGAGGUGCAGGAUAGCUAGGAAGGAGAUAACUGGAGCAGUACUUGUGUCAUAGACUGAUUGACAGUGCCGAUCGACGAGUUGCAUCGAGAACACUGGGCUUUUGGUCCCAUAGCUUCAAACAAAAAGACCGCUUUGUAGUUUCAAUCUGGAAAUCCAUUUUCGUUGGUCCCAUGCAGUGAUGAAAAUUGAGCUCCACACUGCGCCGGCAACCCCGGCGGGCAACCUCUGCACCGCCACCUCCCCUGUCGUCUGGUUUCCACCGCCGGUAAGAAAUUGCAGAACCCCACGUUUAAUUUAAUUAAAGAUCUUUUCUGUUCAGAGCUGCAGAUUAGGUGUUUAAUUUCUUCAUGGCACCCUUUGUGCAGAAGGAAUUGCUCAAAUCAGACACAAGUGAAGCUAUUUGAGGGAUCACUAGCUGUACCAAUUUCUUUCCAGUCACAUUGGUGAACAAAAUUGGUAUAGGGCGGCGUAUGAAGUUAGAUAUCAUAAUACUCCGAAGGAAGGAUGAGAUCCAAACACAACUGCAAGUUUGCAACUCCUGGUUCUUGUUCAAUAGAAUGAUCCUGAAUUUGUGCAUUGAUGAUCACAUUGGUGCUCAAGAACGAUUACAAGAUUUAAUCAACCUUGAUGCAAAAUGAUGCCUUUGUCAGAGGUCAGGGGUGAGCUCAGUUGGAAUGUGUCGUCUUGGUGUAUUUGAUUGAGUCUUAAUAAAGCUUCCAUUAUUUAAAAAGGUAUACACUAGUACCUGAAACUGUGCCUUUCACAUUUCCAUCUGAAGAAAAAUGCAAAUAAAAGGAGGAAAAGAAAACGUCUUUGGAGGUUCGGAGUUCCCUUGACCUCAAGGCCUGAUGUGAUUAAACACUAAAUAAAUUUCGAAACGGCCCAAUAAUUUGAGCCCAACGAAAAGCCAUUCCUGGAUGAGAUCCAACCACAACUGAACUCCAUGUUGUUGCUCAACAGAGUGACGGUGAUCAAUUGGUACUCAAUAUCGUGUUGGAGAAUAAAACUUGUGCAAAACUUUCACUAGCAAAUCCUGGAUUGUGAUUGUUUAAGUUUCUUUCUGUAGCGAAACUUGACUGCCAACCUCCAAAGUACUCCUUACUACUCUCAUCUGUUGAUUUUGAUUAAACUCUGAUGAAUAAAACUGUGCUAUCAGAAGGAA